AAUAACUACCAAUAACGUUGUCUCAUAUAUUUUAUUAUUAUAAUGUUUUUAGAGUUUACACACAUAUUUUGCAUGUGUCUUGUUUUAAACAAUUGGAUCAAAAGCCACAUCCAGCUGUUAUCACACGUAUCAUUUGUGAUAUCGUAACUAAUGUACAAGAUUUUUGAACAAACCUGGCUUCACGUGUCAGAAUGGUUGGCAUGAGCUGUGAAAAGAUAUAUUAUACAGAAGAUAUGUAUGAUAGGCUGUUUUUCAAACAUCAGGGUGUCCUACAUCAAUACAUGCGUACAUACAAAAAAAUUGUGUUUCUCCAACGAUGAGUUAGAAGAAAAUGAUCAGACAAAUAAAGUAUUUGGUGUCACCAACCGCAGCAAGGGGGCCAUAGAUUAUUAUUGUGAUAACUCACCACAACAGUAUAAUAUUAUUUUAUUGUUCACCGAUUUUUGAAUCAUUCGAUUAAGUAUUUGAAAUUUGAAUAGAAAUAUAGACUACAUUAGUACAGAGUUGUAUUCAUAUGUUUUAGAACAAAAUCAUCAAUCUGCGGAUUAUUUGACAAUUAGUGAAUGUAAACAAUGCUCUCAAAACAUAAUCCAAACCAUUUGUCUGGGAUAGAGUAGUUUUAAUAAAUUUAGUAAUUUACAGCGUCAUUGGUACUACUCUGAGCACGACUAGUAAAUUGCAUCUAAGAGAAUAUUGUGUUUCUCCAACGAUGAUAAUGAAUAGACGAAUAAAAGAUUUUCAGCUGAUGAUUUUAAUUUAUCCAAAAAAGCCUUAGAAACAUAAUAAUGGUGAUACACACUUAUAGUUUACACACAUAUUUUGCCUGUCUCAUUCUAAAAAACUGGAUCAAAAGCCACCUCCAGCUUUUAUCGCACACAUCAUUUGUAAUAUCGUAACUAUUGUACAAGAUUUUUUGACAAAUCUGGCUUCACCUGUCAGAAUAGCUGGCAUGAGCAUAUAAAGAUAUAUUAUAUUGAAGAUGUUGCUGAUACGCUGUUAAAAGUAUCGGGGUGUCCUACUGUUAACUGGUUGUCAAACCCGUUCCCCCACACUGAACUUACUUCUCAACAAGGAACAACAAACUUCUUUGAAAGAAGACUAAGCGAACACCAAUUACCUUCAGUUGCACUCUGAAUCCUGAUUGUAUUUGUAUUUUGACUUAUUUAUCAUUAUAAGAAAACUUUUUUUUUAAAUUUUAUUAUAAACAUGUAAUGUA